rnacentral:rRNA from 1 species
AUACUGCGGUGAAUACGUUCCCGGGCCUUGUACACACCGCCCGUCACACCAUGGAAGUUGGCCACGCCCGAAGUCGUUACUUUAACCCUUGUGGAGAAGGACGCCGAAGGUGGGGCUGAUGACUGGGGUGAAGUCGUAACAAGGUAGCCGUACCGGAAGGUGCGGCUGGAUCACCUCCUAA